rnacentral:rRNA from 1 species
GACGAACGCUGGCGGCGUGCUUAACACAUGCAAGUCGAACGGAAAGGCCCUGCUUUUGUGGGGUGCUCGAGUGGCGAACGGGUGAGUAACACGUGAGUAACCUGCCCUUGACUUUGGGAUAACUUCAGGAAACUGAGGCUAAUACCGGAUAGGAGCUCCUGCUGCAUGGUGGGGGUUGGAAAGUUUCGGCGGUUGGGGAUGGACUCGCGGCUUAUCAGCUUGUUGGUGGGGUAGUGGCUUACCAAGGCUUUGACGGGUAGCCGGCCUGAGAGGGUGACCGGCCACAUUGGGACUGAGAUACGGCCCAGACUCCUACGGGAGGCAGCAGUGGGGAAUAUUGCACAAUGGGCGGAAGCCUGAUGCAGCAACGCCGCGUGCGGGAUGACGGCCUUCGGGUUGUAAACCGCUUUCGCCUGUGACGAAGCGUGAGUGACGGUAAUGGGUAAAGAAGCACCGGCUAACUACGUGCCAGCAGCCGCGGUGAUACGUAGGGUGCGAGCGUUGUCCGGAUUUAUUGGGCGUAAAGGGCUCGUAGGUGGUUGAUCGCGUCGGAAGUGUAAUCUUGGGGCUUAACCCUGAGCGUGCUUUCGAUACGGGUUGACUUGAGGAAGGUAGGGGAGAAUGGAAUUCCUGGUGGAGCGGUGGAAUGCGCAGAUAUCAGGAGGAACACCAGUGGCGAAGGCGGUUCUCUGGGCCUUUCCUGACGCUGAGGAGCGAAAGCGUGGGGAGCGAACAGGCUUAGACACCCUGGUAGUCCACGCUGUAAACGGUGGGUACUAGGUGUGGGGUCCAUUCCACGGGUUCCGUGCCGUAGCUAACGCUUUAAGUACCCCGCCUGGGGAGUACGGCCGCAAGGCUAAAACUCAAAGGAAUUGGCGGGGCCCCGCACAAGCGGCGGAGCAUGCGGAUUAAUUCGAUGCAACGCGUAGAACCUUACCUGGGUUUGACAUGGAUCGGGAGUGCUCAGAGAUGGGUGUGCCUCUUUUGGGGUCGGUUCACAGGUGGUGCAUGGCUGUCGUCAGCUCGUGUCGUGAGAUGUUGGGUUAAGUCCCGCAACGAGCGCAACCCUUGUUCACUGUUGCCAGCACGUUAUGGUGGGGACUCAGUGGAGACCGCCGGGGUCAACUCGGAGGAAGGUGGGGAUGACGUCAAGUCAUCAUGCCCCUUAUGUCCAGGGCUUCACGCAUGCUACAAUGGCUGGUACAGAGAGUGGCGAGCCUGUGAGGGUGAGCGAAUCUCGGAAAGCCGGUCUCAGUUCGGAUUGGGGUCUGCAACUCGACCUCAUGAAGUCGGAGUCGCUAGUAAUCGCAGAUCAGCAACGCUGCGGUGAAUACGUUCCCGGGGCU